AGAGAGAGACAUGCGCGCAUAUCAAUAAGCGGAGGAAAAGAAACUAACUAGGAUUCCCUCAGUAACGGCGAGUGAAGCGGGAAGAGCUCAAAUUUGAAAUCUUCAAGGUUCUACCUUGACGAAUUGUAGUUUAAAGAAGUGUUUUCUGUUGGAGUUUUGGUAAAAGUUCUUUGGAAUAGGACAUCAUAGAGGGUGAGAAUCCCGUAUUUGACCAUUAUUUUCCAGCUGUGUGAUACACUUUCAAAGAGUCGGAUUGUUUGGGAAUGCAGUCCAAAAUGGGUGGUAAAUUUCAUCUAAAGCUAAAUAUUGGCGAGAGACCGAUAGCGAACAAGUACCGUGAGGGAAAGAUGAAAAGAACUUUGAAAAGAGAGUUAAACAGUACGUGAAAUUGUCAAAAGGGAAGCGUUUGACACCAGUGUUGUUUUUCUGAAAAUCAAUUAAAGAACUGUUUAUGCUAAGUUGUUUAGACUUUAUCAGCUAAUCUGUUUAGUUUUGAGCCUUUUCCUUAAUGCACUUUUCAGUUAACAAGUCAACAUCAAUUUCUUUUGCUGUAAAAAAGCUUGAGGAAGGUGGCUUGAGAUUCGUCUUAAGUGUUUAUGGCCUCUUGCCUAUGCAGUCGGAGAGAUUGAGGUCUGCAGCGUAGAUCCUUCGGGGCUAAAUGCAUUUGUGCUAAGUUAUAGCCUUUCAUAGACAACUUGUUGACUAUGAUCAGUCAUGUAGCUUACUCGCCUAUGCUAUUUUACCUACGCUUAGGAUGUUGAUGUGAUACUGCGAGCA
rnacentral:rRNA from 1 species